GGGCGAUUAGCUCAGUCGGUUAGAGCGCGUCACUGAUAAUGACGAGGUCUGAGGCCUGCCUCGCAUU
rnacentral:tRNA from 1 species